rnacentral:rRNA from 1 species
GACGAACGCUGGCGGCGCGCCUAACACAUGCAAGUCGAACGAGCGAGAGAGAGCUUGCUUUCUCGAGCGAGUGGCGAACGGGUGAGUAACGCGUGAGGAACCUGCCUCAAAGAGGGGGACAACAGUUGGAAACGACUGCUAAUACCGCAUAAGCCCACGGCUCGGCAUCGAGCAGAGGGAAAAGGAGCAAUCCGCUUUGAGAUGGCCUCGCGUCCGAUUAGCUAGUUGGUGAGGUAAUGGCCCACCAAGACGACGAUCGGUAGCCGGACUGAGAGGUUGAACGGCCACAUUGGGACUGAGACACGGCCCAGACUCCUACGGGAGGCAGCAGUGGGGAAUAUUGCACAAUGGGGGAAACCCUGAUGCAGCGACGCCGCGUGGAGGAAGAAGGUCUUCGGAUUGUAAACUCCUGUUGUUGGGGAAGAUAAUGACGG